GACCUAAUAGCGAAGUUGGUAUCGCGUCCACUCUAUUUUAAUUGGAACUGUAUCAUUAUGUGGAAGUCCCUUGUUCGAAUCGAUGUUAGGUCA